UAAGAUUUACAGGACUGACGGAUAAGGUGGAAUAAACCACAUGAACUGUAAAUUAAGAUGUCGACCGUCUGGGCAGAGAAA
rnacentral:ncRNA from 2 species